AGUGAACGCUGGCGGUAGGCCUAACACAUGCAAGUCGAACGGCAGCACAGUAAGAGCUUGCUCUUACGGGUGGCGAGUGGCGGACGGGUGAGGAAUACAUCGGAAUCUACUUUUUCGUGGGGGAUAACGUAGGGAAACUUACGCUAAUACCGCAUACGACCUACGGGUGAAAGCAGGGGAGCUUCGGACCUUGCCCGAUUGAAUGAGCCGAUGUCGGAUUAGCUAGUUGGCGGGGUAAAGGCCCACCAAGGCGACGAUCCGUAGCUGGUCUGAGAGGAUGAUCAGCAACACUGGAACUGAGACACGGUCCAGACUCCUACGGGAGGCAGAAGUGGGGAAUAUUGGACAAUGGGCGCAAGCCUGAUCCAGCCAUACCGCGUGGGUGAAGAAGGCCUUCGGGUUGUAAAGCCCUUUUGUUGGGAAAGAAAAGCAGCAGGUUAAUACCCCGCUGUUCUGACGGUACCCAAAGAAUAAGCACCGGCUAACUUCGUG
rnacentral:rRNA from 1 species